GACGAACCGUCCAAACGUUAUUCGGAAUUACUGGGCUUAAAGGGUGCGUAGGCGGCAGGGAAAGUUGGGUGUGAAAUCCCACGGCUCAACCGUGGAACUGCGCUCAAAACUGCCUUGCUAGAGGGAGAUAGAGGUGAGCGGAACUUAAGGUGGAGCGGUGAAAUGCGUUGAUAUCUUAAGGAACACCCGUGGCGAAAGCGGCUCACUGGAUCUUUUCUGACGCUGAGGCACGAAAGCUAGGGUCACGAACCGG
rnacentral:misc_RNA from 1 species